CAAUAAUAAACCCUUUUCAAUUCUACUUGACAUAUAGCAACAUUAAUAAACUUAUUCGAGAACCGUUCGUUUAAAUGAGGAAAAAAAAUUUGCAAUAUGUGGACAUCAGGUAAUCCAAUACGCAGCAUGGAACCACUGAACCAUGGAUGAUUCAAAAUGAAAGAGCGAAUUUUAUCUCUGUAGCUGUAGCUGGGCUCGUCUUUCAACAGCUGUGCCACGAUCAAAAGUUGACUGCUCUUUGUUGGAUGCUGCUUGUUUAUAAAUCAAGUCGCCCUAAGCGUAUUAAUGAAAGCAGAUUGUUGGACCUGUUCGUGGUUUUCAUCAUCGGUGCGAAUUGAGUAAGUCGUAAACAAGGGCUGGCUAAUAACUUCACUAGAUGCAGCACGCAUCAUUGCAGUCGCAGUCCGAGCUCUAACGAUAACGACAACAAAAUGUUGAUGGCACAAAUUAUAGGCAAGAAAACCACAGCCAAAGACUCUGGCAAUCUGGCCGAGUCAGUCAGUUGGCAGCAAAAGUGGCAGUAGCUGCGGCAGCAGUGGAAAGUAAGC